rnacentral:rRNA from 1 species
GCUCCAAGAGCGUAUAUUAAAGUUGUUGCGGUUAAAAAGCUCGUAGUUGGAUUUCGAUUUGUUGUGUUGUAGCUCUAGACUAAGUCUAGUGGUUGCAGCACUCGGGUCUACUUUCUGAACGGUUUACCGUCCAGAUAUUUUACUUUGAAAAAAUUAGAGUGUUUCACGCAGGCAUAUUGCCUGAAUAUCACAGCAUGGAA